GUGUGUGUGCUCUGUUGCAGUAUUUCCAGGUAGCUCUGUCUGCUGCAUUACUGCAAACAGGCUGCAGCCUCUUUGCAGUAAUUUCACACACACACACAAACACACACUCACACACACAUGCUCACACACUUACACACACUCACACACACACUCACACACGCUCACACACUCUCACACACACACACACACAGACACACACACUUACACACACACACACACAGCGAGCAGUGGUAAAGUGAGUGUCAUGGUGUUUUGGCCCCGCCCCUUAAUCUCAUUAAGCCACAUGAUUGGAUGCUGGCGAUCUGUGUGGCACGUUGACUUGUUGUUGUUUAUCGUGUUUGUUUAUAUAAAUAUAUAACAUUAUAUAUUCAUCACCAGUGUUGGGAGUAACGUUACUUAGUAACGCGUUCCUGUAAUUCCACUACUUUUAGCGGUAACGAGCAUGUAACGAAGUAUUUUUUUUAAUCAACUAACGCAGUUACAAUGACUGAAAUGUAAAUGAGUUCGUUACUCGCGUGACUCUCUUUUGUGAAAAAUGAACACUUGCAGACAAGAAAACAAGCUCGGCUACUUUAGCUGCUUCUGAUCCGACAUCAGGACCUUGGUGGAGCAAUGAUGGAACGUCUCGGCCGUUAUGGACUGACGACACGGAGACGGUUAACCCCGCCUCCCCUCGACUCCGCCAAUCACAGGCCCGCCCCCUCGACCAGCAUCACGGUGCCACACUGUGAUUGUCAGCCACCUCCAGUGUUGCCAGGUCCGCGGUUUUCCCGCGGAAUUGGGCUACUUUUGAAGUGUUGCCGCGGGUUGAAUUGUUUGUCCGCUGGUUCGGGUUAGACCUAUUUUGCAUGCAAAUUACAUGAAUAUCUUUCAAUAAAAAUCCCUAUUUUAAAUGAAAUAAUUUAUUUAUACCCAAAUCCUACCAAACUGACUCCAGAUCAGCAGGUACACGCCGACACAUCCGCGCACACAGGUGAGCACACUCUCACUAGCACCCCCCCCCCCCUCAAUUAUAUGCAGCACCUCAAGGCACCUUUGUUUUCUCUUUUAAUUAGUGUUAAUACUGGAGGCCAAUCACUUUUAUUUCAUUGGGCCUAAUGUGGUAAAAAAACACUGUUAAAUGACAGACAGUUAUUUUGUAUUAAGUUAAGUAUUAAAAGGGACUUUUGUACGACUGCUUGAUUUGAAGGCCUGUUGCCCUGUUGAUUGCAAUAAAGAGGUCUACAACAUGUU